rnacentral:rRNA from 1 species
AGAUUGAACGCUGGCGGCAUGCCUAACACAUGCAAGUUGAACGGCAACAGGUUCUAGUUUACUAGGAUGCUGGCGAGUAGCGAACGGGUGAGUAACGCGUGGGAAUAUACCUUGUAGAGUGGGAUACCUUAGGGAAACUUAAGUUAAUACCGCAUAGUCUCUAAGGAGUAAAGCUGGGGACCGUAAGGCCUGGCGCUAUAAGCAUAGCCUGCGUCCGAUUAGCUAGUUGGUGGGGUAAAGGCCUACCAAGGCGACGAUCGGUA